rnacentral:misc_RNA from 1 species
UUUUCAGUCAGAAACAGACAUUUAUAUAUAUAUAAAAAAAAGAUAUCCCACACAAAUCCAAAGCUUCCAUUUUUGCGAGGAGCAGGAAGAGCCGGAUCUAACUCAACCUCUUCACUCCAUGAUCCACAUGAAGAAUUUGAAUCAAGUACAACAGAGAUUGUUAAGCCUAAAGAGGAAUUGAUCUUAAUCAUAGAAACAGGGCAGAACUAGAAACAGUGUUUUCAGUGCGUGUGCCAACAAAUUCCACCAACAAGCUUAUGGAGCCUGUGACAACCAAUAAUGAAAGAUCACACAUUAUAAACUUCAAAGAUUGGUCCGAGCAAUGACAUUUUUUAUGUAAUUUCUUAAACCAUAAUCACUGGGAUGUGUAGGAUUAGAUACGCGAUGAGUCAUAACUGAAUCUUAAUAGAUGAAACUGUAUCAGUUAAAGUAGAGACGGCCACAGUCCAUUUCAGAACCAGACCGUUCUAAUCUGAAAACAGAACCAAAACUGGUCAAAACAGCUGGACCAAAACCGGCCUUGAACUAGACCAGCCCUCUGAAUUAUAUGCACAGAGCACAAAAAAUGAACUACAAAUAUUUUUCCAUGUCAAACAAGAUAAGUGACGGAAAAUGAAUAAAUAUGCUUUGAAGGAGACUUCUCCAAUUUCAAAUUGACAGCUACAAAACAUUAUCAAGUUAAUCACUACAGAAUCAGAGCAACCCAAUCUACAACAUUACAUCAUCAAUGUCCCUUCAAGACUACCUUCAGUUUUUACAGAGGUUUCACUUCCUUCGACAAGAUUUUCAUGUAUUCGAGCCACCACACAAUCCAACCAAAGUUUGUUCUCCUUCAAACAUAUUUAAUAUUUAAUAAAUUUUAAUCUUAAAAACACAUUGCAUCAAUUCCAAUCAAAUGCCAUAUUAGCAAAGAAUCAUACCUCAUUGAGCUGCAUGUAAUAAAGAACCAUUCUCUAUGCUAGCUUCCAAAUUCCAGCCUCUCUCAGCAGCUUCUUUCUUCAAUUCCUCUAUCUGCAUUUCUAUUCUAGUACAUGCAGCUUGGAUUUCUAUAUUUUUGUGACAAAGCUCCUUCCAUUGCAUAGAUAAAGCAUUCAGCUCAUAUGCAGUAUUUUGCUGAUGAUAUUUCCUUUCCCGAUUCACAGCUUCAAUCUUUUCAUUUUGUUCCUGAGCUAACUUCUGCAUUCUGGAUAACAUUACUUCUAAUUGUCGGUUGUGUUGUAUCCAGACAUUUGGACCAUAUUUUGAUAUUAGGUCUAAAUUUUCCAACCUGAUAACUUGAUGCUGUAGCAAACGCUGUGCUCGCUGAAGUGCUUGCUUCCAAGCAGCUUCAUCAUUCAUCUUAUUAGCCAGAGGCAAAUCCAAGUGAGCAUAUCGUGAAAAAUCAAGAGUAACUGGAGGCUUUCCAGCUCUCACACGUUCAUAUUCUUUAGCAAGCAUUGGAUAAUUCUCGAAAUUGAACUUUGGAAGAGGAGGCAAGUCUUUCAAAAAAUCGGCAGGUUUCUUGGAGCUCCUACGCAUCUCUUCUUCGACAAGGCGAUCAACCUCCGCCUUAACGGAGGGAUCUCCAUAAUCGUCGUCGAUGUACGGCAACGAGUCUAUGAUUUCUGAAUUGGAAGAAUUCGACCAAGGUCGUGAGGCUUCCGGUGGUGCCUCCAGCAUCAGAAUUUCGCCGUUUCCGGUAGCCGCCAUUGGUGGUUGCUUUUGAUGGAGUCGCGCAGUGGGCUAAUGGCAA